rnacentral:rRNA from 1 species
UGGAGAGUUUGAUCCUGGCUCAGGACGAACGCUGGCGGCGUGCCUAAUACAUGCAAGUAGAACGCUGACUACUUUAGCUUGCUAGAGUAGAAGGAGUUGCGAACGGGUGAGUAACGCGUAGGUAACCUGCCUACUAGCGGGGGAUAACUAUUGGAAACGAUAGCUAAUACCGCAUAACAGUGUUUAACACAUGUUAGAUGCUUGAAAGAUGCAAAUGCAUCACUAGUAGAUGGACCUGCGUUGUAUUAGCUAGUUGGUGGGGUAACGGCCUACCAAGGCGACGAUACAUAGCCGACCUGAGAGGGUGAUCGGCCACACUGGGACUGAGACACGGCCCAGACUCCUACGGGAGGCAGCAGUAGGGAAUCUUCGGCAAUGGGGGCAACCCUGACCGAGCAACGCCGCGUGAGUGAAGAAGGUUUUCGGAUCGUAAAGCUCUGUUGUAAGAGAAGAACGUGUGUGAGAGUGGAAAGUUCACACAGUGACGGUAACUUACCAGAAAGGGACGGCUAACUACGUGCCAGCAGCCGCGGUA